rnacentral:lncRNA from 1 species
GGAAAGAAAAGUGUCCAUGUUUUCACGUCUUUCUUAUAUCAUCACAUGUUACAACAUAUUUCCAAAGUAGGAAUUUACAUAAGAACGUGAUGGCAAUAAGAUGGCUUUUGUAAGAUAAAUUUGAUGGUAAGGAAAAAACCUUUAAUUAAAUACCUUUGAGAG